rnacentral:rRNA from 1 species
GAUGAACGCUGGCGGCGUGCCUAAUACAUGCAAGUCGAGCGAACGGACGAGAAGCUUGCUUCUCUGAUGUUAGCGGCGGACGGGUGAGUAACACGUGGAUAACCUACCUAUAAGACUGGGAUAACUUCGGGAAACCGGAGCUAAUACCGGAUGAUAUUUUGAACCGCAUGGUUCAAAAGUGAAAGACGGUCUUGCUGUCACUUAUAGAUGGAUCCGCGCUGCAUUAGCUAGUUGGUAAGGUAACGGCUUACCAAGGCAACGAUGCAUAGCCGACCUGAGAGGGUGAUCGGCCACACUGGAACUGAGACACGGUCCAGACUCCUACGGGAGGCAGCAGUAGGGAAUCUUCCGCAAUGGGCGAAAGCCUGACGGAGCAUCGCCGCGUGAGUGAUGAAGGUCUUCGGAUCGUAAAACUCUGUUAUUAGGGAAGAACAUAUGUGUAAGUAACUGUGCACAUCUUGACGGUACCUAAUCAGAAAGCCACGGCUAACUACGUG